UUUACGUGCCCGUUGUCUUCA
rnacentral:piRNA from 1 species